AAGGUGGUCCCUGGCUGGCAUUUUUAACGGUGAGGGGGACGGCGUGAUAGGCUCGGGGGGCUCUGGCUGCUUGACACGUGGGAGGCUGUGAAUGAAUAGGAACACCGAACUGGUGACGACGGUGCGGCGGUUUUAGUUUUGAGCUUUUGUGGGUUUGAGUUAUUGGGCUGUUGUGCUCUUCUUUUUGGGCUUUGCAAAGUUUGCUCUUUUUGUUUCAUAAUUAGUUAAUUCUUGUUGUUGGAGUGGGUAUAGGGGGGAUAAUUUGUAGAGACUAAUGGCGUUUGUAAAUGAAGACGAUACUAAAAGUUAGACAAAGGAGAAGAGGAAUUACUUUGCAUAAUAGUUGUACAUAGUGAUAGAUUGUGUAA
rnacentral:lncRNA from 1 species